CAGUUUUUCUAGCAUGUAACACCUUUCUGACCUGGUCAUACCCUGAGCAGCAAUGAUGUCUAUCAUUUUGCCUUUGGCUUCAGCUCGAUAAUCCUACAAGACUACUUUAGUGUCAUAGUCGGGCCUCCCAGUAGCUAUAGUAGUCACUAUAACUUUUGGCAGGUAAAUUUGAAUAGUUAUAAGCUCUCUCAACUAUACUGUGAUUAACGGCUG
rnacentral:lncRNA from 1 species